CCCAAUAUGGCAUAGUGGUUUGAGCAUUAGAUUACGACUCUGGAGACCAGGGUUCAAAUCCCAGCUCAGCCA